rnacentral:tRNA from 2 species
GGUAGAAUGGCUGAAUGUUAAGCGGUGGGUUGUAGCCCCUUAUAUAGAGGUUAAAUUCCUCUUUCUAUCA